GCAGAAGUGGCGGAACUGGCAGACGCGCAAGACUAAGGAUCUUGUGUCCGAAAGGAUGUAGGGGUUCGAGUCCCCUCUUCUGCACCA
rnacentral:tRNA from 1 species